GUCUACAGCCAUGCCACCCUGAACACGCCCAAUCGCGUAUGAUCUCGGAAGCUAAGCAGGGUCAGGACUGGUUAGUACUUGGAUGGGAGACCACUGAGGAAUACCAGGUGCUGUAGGCU
rnacentral:rRNA from 1 species